rnacentral:rRNA from 1 species
UAGGGAAUCUUCGGCAAUGGGGGGAACCCUGACAGAGCAACGACGCGUGAGUGAAGAAGGUUUUCGGAUCGUAAAGCUCUGUUGUUAAGGAAGAACGAGUGUGAGAAUGGAAAGUUCAUACUGUGACGGUACUUAACCAGAAAGGGACGGCUAACUACGUGCCAGCAGCCGCGGUAAUACGUAGGUCCCGAGCGUUGUCCGGAUUUAUUGGGCGUAAAGCGAGCGCAGGCGGUUAGAUAAGUCUGAAGUUAAAGGCAGUGGCUCAACCAUUGUAGGCUUUGGAAACUGUUUAACUUGGGUGCAGAAGGGGAGGGUGGAAUUCCAUGUGUAGCGGUGAAAAGCGUAGAUAUAUGGAGGCACACCGGUGGCGAAAGCGGCUCUCUUGUCUGUAACUGACGCUGAGGCUCGAAAGCGUGGGGAGCGAACAGG